GCAGACACAUUCCAGCCAAUCAGCAGCAGACUCUCCCUCCCGGACCCUCUCACCUCCUGGACAGCUCACCAAGAAUGCAGCUUCAAAAUGGAUGCUGUCCAGGAGGUGGGAGGGUCUGGGAGGGAGGGUAUGCUGCUGAUUGACUGGAAUGUGUCUG
rnacentral:miRNA from 1 species